ACUUGGAAGACUAAUUUGGAAUUCUCGUGGUGCGACUGUAUCGGGAAUUUUGAGUUAGAUUUUUCUGCCCAGCGGAGUUUACGAGUGGUGUGACUGUAUCUCGCAAGCGACGUUGUAUUAUCUGGUAUCUAAUUACCGGUUGUUGUUUAUUAUUUUGGCCAUCAUCUAACCUCAGCUUCGUCAUGAGCAUCGCCAUCUUCAAAGGGCAAAUCAUCUCUUGCAAAAGGAAGCUAUCGGGCCCUCAUAGCACACUUCCUCUGAUUUCUUCACUCCGUUUACCAUCUUCCUCUUAUCAUCUCCUUCAGCAACAAAUUGAAACCCAAAAUAAUCCCAAUAGCCUUCCAAAAAAUCAGUAGUCGACGACUACAUCACUCUAAAUGAGCCCUAAUUUCUUCACUUUUUUGGAUUUCGGAAUCGAAUAAAAGCAAUAUCUGCACACGAGUUUUCAGGUUAAUUUCGAAACCUCUGUUCUAUUUUUCUUUCUUAUGAAUUUUGGGGAAGAAUCGGUGCCUGUUGUAUGGAAAUUAUAAAUUAUACAGUUGUUAAAAACAAUUGUAUUUGUGAAUAUCAGAAGAAAGUUUCAUGUUGCAUUCCAACUGCUCGAUAGAAUGCUUCAACCAGGUUUAUCAAUAUUUUUUCUAAUCUUUUUAUUCAACCUCAACUCUUAUUUUUGAAAAUAUAAAUGCUUUCUUUGUAAAGAAUUUCAUUGUCACUAUGGUGUUAAAGUAUCACCCGUAGAUGCUACAAGAAUACGUCCAUGGCGAAGAACACAUAAGCUUCAUAUAUCCAAGUUAGAGUUUGCUUUCGGAAAUAUUUGAAAGACAAAAGGGUUGAAGAUGGACACAGUAUGUUGCAUAUUUUGCACCAUUUACAUCUUAAUUAGAUUGAUCCUGAAAUAAUUAUGUUAAUGGUUUCAAGAUGAUGAUACUCUUAAGAACAUCGAUGAAUAAGGAAGAGGUCGAGUUCAUGAUCAGAGACACCAUUCACGCUUCUUUCUCUUGGUAGACUGGUCAAUUCCAUGAUAAGAAACUCAGGCUCUUGGUCUUAAACAAUUGAUGUUAUAUAUAUGCAAAACCAUUUUCAUCAUAUACAUCGUGAUUCAGCUUCAAUCCUAGCUUAGACUAGGGUAAUGGAUGAUUUCCUAGCUUCAAUCCUCCAUAACCCAUCUCUGGAUCUCUUCAAAACAUUUCUCCAAAGGUGAAUUUUUUGCUCUAUUCUUUAAACAGUACCAAUGCUUGCGAAAGAAAGUUUAAAAGCUUUAGGUGGAUUGGGUUUUCUUUCUCUUGGUGGGAAAUUCCUUCUCAGGCAUUUUCAGGUUGCUGCAGAAGCAAGAAGCUCAGAGGAUUUUGUAGCACACUGUUUACUAACAGUUGCAGGAACAUCACUUAUAACUCAGAAAUUAGCAACAUACUUAUAGUUUUUAACCAUAAUAGGAACAUACCUUAUAGGUAUGAAUUUGUAAGAAUUUUUAUGUACUUUGCUUUCUAUGUGUAAAGAAAAAUUAAUAGAAAGCUUUAUUGGCAAA